rnacentral:rRNA from 1 species
GACGAACGCUGGCGGCGUGCCUAAUACAUGCAAGUCGAGCGGACUUGACGGAGCUUGCUCUGUUCAAGUCAGCGGCGGACGGGUGAGUAACACGUGGAUAACCUGCCUGUAAGACUGGGAUAACUCCGGGAAACCGGGGCUAAUACCGGAUAACAUCAAGAGCUGCAUGGCGUUUGAUUGAAAGACGGCUUCGGCUGUCACUUACAGAUGGACCCGCGGCGCAUUAGCUAGUUGGUGGGGUAACGGCUCACCAAGGCAACGAUGCGUAGCCGACCUGAGAGGGUGAUCGGCCACACUGGGACUGAGACACGGCCCAGACUCCUACGGGAGGCAGCAGUAGGGAAUCUUCCGCAAUGGACGAAAGUCUGACGGAGCAACGCCGCAUGAGUGAAGAAGGUUUUCGGAUCGUAAAACUCUGUUGCCAGGGAAGAACAAGUACGGUAGUAACUGCCCGUACCUUGACGGUACCUGGCCAGAAAGCCACGGCUAACUACGUGCCAGCCGCCGCUGUAACAC